rnacentral:rRNA from 1 species
GACAGAGGUGCCGAGCGUUAGGCGGAAUCACUGGGCUUAAAGCGUGUGUAGGCGGAUCGUUAAGUACCUUGUGAAAUCCCACGGCUCAACCGUGGAACUGCUGGGUAUACUGGCGGUCUUGAGCCACCUAGGGGCGAGCGGAACAAGCGGUGGAGCGGUGAAAUGCGUAGAUAUCACUUGGAACGCCAACGGUGAAAACAGCUCGCUGGGGGUGUGCUGACGCUGAGACACGAAAGCUAGGGGAGCAAACGGG